GUGGGGAAUCUUGCGCAAUGGGCGAAAGCCUGACGCAGCCAUGCCGCGUAGAUGAUGAAGGUCUUAGGAUUGUAAAAUCCUUUCACCGGUGAAGAUAAUGACUGUAGCCGGAGAAGAAGCCCCGGCUAACUUCGUGCCAGCAGUCGCGGUAAUACGAAGGGGGCUAGCGUUGCUCGGAUUUACUGGGCGUAAAGGGCGCGUAGGCGGACAUUUAAGUCAGGGGUGAAAUCCCGGGGCUCAACCUCGGAACUGCCUUUGAUACUGGGUGUCUUGAGUAUGAGAGAGGUGUGUGGAACUCCGAGUGUAGAGGUGAAAUUCGUAGAUAUUCGGAAGAACACCAGUGGCGAAGGCGACACACUGGCUCAUUACUGACGCUGAGGCGCGAAAGCGUGGGGAGCAAACAGGAUUAGAUACCCCGGUAGUCC
rnacentral:rRNA from 1 species